rnacentral:rRNA from 1 species
AUUGAACGCUGGCGGCAGGCCUAACACAUGCAAGUCGAGCGGAUGAAGGGAGCUUGCUCUCUGAUUUAGCGGCGGACGGGUGAGUAAUGCCUAGGAAUCUGCCUGGUAGUGGGGGAUAACGUUCCGAAAGGAACGCUAAUACCGCAUACGUCCUACGGGAGAAAGCAGGGGACCUUCGGGCCUUGCGCUAUCAGAUGAGCCUAGGUCGGUUUAGCUAGUUGGUGAGGUAAUGGCUCACCAAGGCGACGAUCCGUAACUGGUCUGAGAGGAUGAUCAGUCACACUGGAACUGGGACACGGUCCAGACUCCUACGGGAGGCAGCAGUGGGGAAUAUUGGACAAUGGGCGAAAGCCUGAUCCAGCCAUGCCGCGUGUGUGAAGAAGGUCUUCGGAUUGUAAAGCACUUUAAGUUGGGAGGAAGGGCAGUAAGUUAAUACCUUGCUGUUUUGACGUUACCGACAGAAUAAGCACCGGCUAACUUCGUGCCAGCCGCCGCAGUAACAC